GACGAACGCUGGCGGCGUGCUUAACACAUGCAAGUCGAACGGUAAGGCCCUUUCGGGGGUCCACGAGUGGCGCACGGGUGCGUAACACGUGGGUGAUCUGCCCUGCACUUUGGGAUAAGCCUGGGAAACUGGGUCUAAUACCGGAUAGGUCUACGCGAUGCAUGUCGUGUGGUGGAAAGCUUUUGCGGUGUGGGAUGGGCCCGCGGCCUAUCAGCUUGUUGGUGGGGUGAUGGCCUACCAAGGCGACGACGGGUAGCCGGCCUGAGAGGGUGUCCGGCCACACUGGGACUGAGAUACGGCCCAGACUCCUACGGGAGGCAGCAGUGGGGAAUAUUGCACAAUGGGCGCAAGCCUGAUGCAGCGACGCCGCGUGGGGGAUGACGGCCUUCGGGUUGUAAACCCCUUUCAGCACAGACGAAGCGUAAGUGACGGUAUGUGCAGAAGAAGCACCGGCCAACUACGUG
rnacentral:rRNA from 1 species